rfam:Gossypium raimondii Chr11_contig_606, whole genome shotgun sequence.
UGUUAAAAAUUUCAUUUAUUUAUAUUAUUAAAAAAUCGGUGUGGCGGACAAAAUAACUAAAUAGUGAUAUGUGGUAUGCUAUGUGUACCUCAAGUUGACAUACGAAGAUCAGUUUUUAACAAUAUAAAUAAAUAAUUUUUUAAUA